GAUGAACGCUGGUGGUAUGCUUAACACAUGCAAGUCGAACGGACUCUUCGGAGUUAGUGGCGGACGGGUGAGUAACGCGUGAGAAUCUGGCUUUGGGUUCGGGACAACCACUGGAAACGGUGGCUAAUACCGGAUGUGCCGAGAGGUAAAAGAGAAAUUGCCUGAAGAUGAGCUCGCGUCUGAUUAGCUAGUUGGUGAGGUAAAGGCUCACCAAGGCAGCGAUCAGUAGCUGGUCUGAGAGGAUGACCAGCCACACUGGGACUGAGACACGGCCCAGACUCCUACGGGAGGCAGCAGUGGGGAAUUUUCCGCAAUGGGCGAAAGCCUGACGGAGCAAUACCGCGUGAGGGAAGAAGGCUCUUGGGUUGUAAACCUCUUUUCUUAGGGAAGAACAAAAUGACGGUACCUAAGGAAUCAGCAUCGGCUAACUCCGUG
rnacentral:rRNA from 1 species